rnacentral:lncRNA from 1 species
AAACAGUGUGUAUAUAUAGCUUCUAUGCUUUUAAAAAUAUUAAGUUAUUGGUGAUUGUAGGUUUUCGGCCCUUCGAUUAAGAGAUGUGCGAUUAGGAUAACAAUGAUCCUCUAGGGUUGAGUAAGCGGUUGGUUGAAUAAUAUGAUUUAACAUAUAAAAAUAAUCAAAAUGCUAAAUCUAACAGCAAAAAAGUUACAAGCACUGAAUGCUUUGUGCUUUUAUAAGUACCAACUCUCUCUCUCUCUAUAUAUAUAAAUAUCUAUAUAUAC